rnacentral:rRNA from 1 species
UACGGAGGGUGCAAGCGUUAUCCGGAUUCACUGGGUUUAAAGGGUGCGUAGGUGGGUUGGUAAGUCAGUGGUGAAAUCUCCAGGCUUAACUUGGAAACUGCCAUUGAUACUAUCAAUCUUGAAUACCGUGGAGGUCAGCGGAAUAUGUCAUGUAGCGGUGAAAUGCUUAGAUAUGACAUAGAACACCGAUUGCGAAGGCAGCUGGCUACACGAAUAUUGACACUGAUGCACGAAAGCGUGGGGAUCAAACAGG